GUCAGAAUAGGUUAUACAUUAUUGGCCAGUUAUUACAUUAUCAACCUUUAUUACUUUAAGAAUGUAAGAAUUACAUUAUUGGCAGUUACUACAUUACUGGCUUCUACAUGGUCCUCCAUUAUGCAAAAUCAGCUUUUUGUCGGCAUUAAUUACUAAAAAGCUUGAUUUACACCAGCAUGCAUGCAAUAAGAAUUUCAGUCUGUGACUGACAAUAAAGUUGUAUCGUAUCUUAACAUUUUAGUUUAGAAAUCAGCUCACUGAACCAGUAAGCAGCGUUUUAUAUGAAACUAGCCAUACCAUCAGUAUACCUAAAUCACUUAAAACCAUUAACUGACAUUCGUCAGUCAGCUCAAAAAUUCUCUACCCAGUGCACCGGUCCCUGUUUGACCCAAGUCCAGAAGUCUUUGCGAAAGCAGAUGAGUCUUCACAGUGUUAAAAAUUGCACCAAAAUCAAAUUAAAUCCAUGCAUAAGCCUUAGGCAGGAAAAUUACCAGGGCAGUGAAACCAGAGAGGAUAUUCAUAAUAAUUCUAGCUAAUAAUAAUGCUGAAGCUAAUUUAAAACUAGUAUAAAAUUGUAAAAAUUAACAACACUAUUAAAACACUAUAAGACACAACAGAUAACAAACAGCAUAAGACACCAGGUGAGCAACAGGCCACGCCCCCAGAGUCUCAGAUUAAAAGGUGAGCAAGAGGCCAAGCCCCCAGAUUGUCAGAUUAAAAGGUGAGCAACAGGCCACGUCCUCAGAAUGUCAGAUUAAAAGGUGAGCAGCAGGCCACGCUCCCAGGGUGUCAGAUUAAAAGGUGAGCAGCAGGCCACGCUCCCAGGGUGUCAGAUUAACAGGUGAGCAGCAGGCCACGCCCCCAGGGUGUCAGAUUAAAAGGUGAGCAGCAGGCCACGCUCCCAGGGUGUCAGAUUAAAAGGUGAGCAGCAGGCCACGCCCCCAGGGUGUCAGAUUAAAAGGUGAGCAGCAGGCCACGCUCCCAGGGUGUCAGAUUAAAAGGUGAGCAGCAGGCCACGCUCCCAGGGUGUCAGAUUAAAAGGUGAGCAGCAGGCCACGCUCCCAGGGUGUCAGAUUAAAAGGUGAGCAGCAAGCCACGCUCCCAGGGUUUCAGAUUAGAAGGUGACCCACAGUGAGUAGUGCUCACGCACCAUGUUGGAGGGAGUUUUGUCUUUUCAAACUAGCAGCCGCUAAACCCCCUUCACUGCUGGUUUCUCCCUUACUUUAAACAGCAAAUUACAAGCGAGUAUAGGGCUCUUGAAAAAAAUGUUGGUAACACUUUAUUUAAAAAUCCUAUAAAUGCAUUGUAGAUGUCUUCAUAAUGCAUUAUAAUGGUCAGUAUACCAAUUAAGGAUGCUCUGUACUGCAUUAUGAAGGUAUUAAUAGUGCAUUUUACAUGAGAGCUUCAUAGAAAAUUCAUAAUGAAUAAUAAACAUGUGUAGAAUGCGUUGUGACUUUUUAGAAAUAUUUAUUGCCAUGUUUAUAAUACGUUAUGAAUGUAUUAUAAUGCAUAAUGUGGGUACCUAUAAUGGUUUUAUAUGACUGCUUUAAGUGUUAACAAAAUGUU